rnacentral:rRNA from 1 species
AGCGAACGCUGGCGGCAGGCUUAACACAUGCAAGUCGAGCGGGCACCUUUCGGGGUGUCAGCGGCGGACGGGUGAGUAACACGUGGGAACGUGCCCUCUGGUUCGGAAUAACUCAGGGAAACUUGAGCUAAUACCGGAUACGCCCUUUUGGGGAAAGGCUUGCUGCCGGAGGAUCGGCCCGCGUCUGAUUAGCUAGUUGGUGAGGUAACGGCUCACCAAGGCGACGAUCAGUAGCUGGUCUGAGAGGAUGAUCAGCCACACUGGGACUGAGACACGGCCCAGACUCCUACGGGAGGCAGCAGUGGGGAAUAUUGGACAAUGGGCGCAAGCCUGAUCCAGCCAUGCCGCGUGAGUGAUGAAGGCCUUAGGGUUGUAAAGCUCUUUUAUCCGGGACGAUAAUGACGGUACCGGAGGAAUAAGCCCCGGCUAACUUCGU